rnacentral:tRNA from 1 species
UAGGUAGAUGCUAAUUGGCUUCGGCGUUUAACUGUUAAUUAAAAAAUUGAAGGAUCGAAGCCUUCCUGCCUAG